GAAUGCCACAAAGGAGCUUUGAAUAUUGGACUAACCUCAAAUGUCCUUCCACUGUAUGUAUGUAUCUUUUCCUAUGUCUACAUAUCUUCUCAUUUGAAAACAAACUAUUUACAUGUGGAAAAAUUCAAGGGUUCCAGCAAUCGGUGUUGAUAGUGACAUGGCCCCAAACAUUGAUUUCCAAGCUCUGGAUUUCUCGCAGGGCCGGGUGAGCUAAUGGGCUUUGCCUACCGGCUGGAGAGAUCUGUGGGCCUUCCCCUUCCUACUCACUUUUCCUCCUCCCACUCUUCUCCCCUCCUCAGGCCCGUUCUUCCUACUUUUCCUCAACUCUCCUUCCUCCCUCCUCCCUCCUUCUCCCUUAGCUCCCCCCACCUCUUCCCCCCACCCUCCAUUCCUCUGUCUCUCCAUUCCUCCACCUACUCCUCCCAAUUUCUCCCCCUACAGCCCCCCUUCUCACCACCACUUAUAAUGGCACACAGGGCUCCCUCUGAGGUGGACGGCCCGAUGCACAGAGAAUUUCUGACCUUGUGA
rnacentral:lncRNA from 1 species